AUGGGGAUCGGCGCAGCGCUGGCUGUGCUGCUGGUGGCGGCGACGUGGUCGACGGCGGUCUUCGCCAAGGGCGAGGGCGAGGCGGCGGCGGCGACGGACUGGGUCUCCGUCGACCCGAAGGCGGUGCUCGUCUGUCUGAUGGUGGCGGAGAACGCGUACCACCCAGACAGCAAUGCACAGUGCUGCGAGGCUUUGUCCCACGACGAGGGCAACUGGUUGCAGUGCGAGCUCCAGGACCGGCUCCCAGGUAGGAGGCGGCCAAUGGCAGAGAUCUUCCCGUGUAUCCGCGAAGAGGCCACUUGCCAGCUAUCAUGGGGCGCCGUGGAAAGAAGAGAGCUAGCGGCUGAGAGCCCUGCGGCAGGCCCGGGUCAUGUGGCUAGUCCGGGUCCGAGCACUGCGGAGGGUCCAGGUCCUGCAGCUGGUCCGGGUCCAAGCCCUAUGGAGGGUCCAGGUCUUGUGAUGGGCCCGGUUCCUGGCCCUACGGCUACGGCAGGCCCGGGUCCUGCGGCUAGUCCAAGUCCGAGCCCUGCCAAGGGUCCGGGUCCAAGCCCUGCGGAGGGUCCGGGUCCUGUGGCUGGUCCUGCUCCGAGCCCUGCAGCCGGUCUAGGUCCUGCUGCUGGUCCGGAUCGCGCGGCCGAUGCACCUUAG
rnacentral:rRNA from 1 species